rnacentral:rRNA from 1 species
AGCAGCAGCCGCGGUAAUACGAAGGGUGCAAGCGUUACUCGGAAUUACUGGGCGUAAAGCGUGUGUAGGUGGUUGUUUAAGUCUGUCGUGAAAGCCCUGGGCUCAACCUGGGAAUUGCGAUGGAUACUGGGCGACUAGAGUGCGGUAGAGGAUAGUGGAAUUUCCGGUGUAGCAGUGAAAUGCGUAGAGAUCGGAAGGAACAUCUGUGGCGAAGGCGACUAUCUGGGCCAACACUGACACUGAGGCACGAAAGCGUGGGGAGCAAACAGGAUUAGAUACCCCGUAGUCCCUGUCUCUUAUACA